GACGAACGCUGGCGGCGUGCUUAACACAUGCAAGUCGAACGGUGAAGCGCCUUCCUUUUUGGUGGGUGUGGAUGAGUGGCGAACGGGUGAGUAACACGUGAGUAACCUGCCCCCUUCUUCUGGAUAACCGCAUGAAAGUGUGGCUAAUACGGGAUAUUCUGGGUCUGUCGCAUGAUGGGUCUGGGAAAGAUAUUGUUUCGGUGGGGGAUGGGCUGGCGGCCUAUCAGCUUGUUGGUGGGGUGAUGGCCUACCAAGGCGGUGGCGGGUAGCCGGCCUGAGAGGGUGGACGGUCAGACUGGGACAGAGACCAGGCCGAGACUGCUACAGGGGGCAGCAGUGGAGAAUAUUGAGCAGUGGGCGCAAGCCUGAUGCAGCGACGCCGCGGGAGGGAUGGAGGCCUUCGGGUUGUGAACCUCUUUCGCCAGUGAAGCAGGCCUGCCUCGUUUGUGGGUGGGUUGACGGUAGCUGGAUAAGAAGCGCCGGCUAACUACGUG
rnacentral:rRNA from 1 species